rnacentral:SRP_RNA from 1 species
UGGCGGGUCUUAGGCGGGGGGCUAGGGGUCCCUUGAAAGGACUUCAAGCCUUGACCGUAAACCCCCUUUACGACGGGCCGAUAGCUGAUGCGAGGCGUAAAAGAUUGUCAGGAACCUCGGUCGUCUAUCUGUGAGUAUCCGUCCUUUGGGGCUAACGGACAUGGAACGCCCUCUGUAAGGAGGUUGUUUCCAUGUUUACCAGGCGAACCUGGCUAGGCCCGGGAGGGAGCAACCUAAGCUUGGACGUUUGGCGCUCAGAGGAGUGCGGGUACGAGUGAAGAGUCCGAUGGUACCUGACAAAAACUGUACGUCAACCAUCAGUGACCCGCCA